AUUGAACGCUGGCGGCAUGCCUUACACAUGCAAGUCGAACGGCAGCACGGGUGCUUGCACCUGGUGGCGAGUGGCGAACGGGUGAGUAAUACAUCGGAACAUGUCCUGUAGUGGGGGAUAGCCCGGCGAAAGCCGGAUUAAUACCGCAUACGAUCUACGAAUGAAAGCGGGGGACCUUCGGGCCUCGCGCUAUAGGGUUGGCCGAUGGCUGAUUAGCUAGUUGGUGGGGUAAAGGCCUACCAAGGCGACGAUCAGUAGCUGGUCUGAGAGGACGACCAGCCACACUGGGACUGAGACACGGCCCAGACUCCUACGGGAGGCAGCAGUGGGGAAUUUUGGACAAUGGGCGAAAGCCUGAUCCAGCAAUGCCGCGUGUGUGAAGAAGGCCUUCGGGUUGUAAAGCACUUUUGUCCGGAAAGAAAUCCUUGGCCCUAAUACGGUCGGGGGAUGACGGUACCGGAAGAAUAAGCACCGGCUAACUACGUG
rnacentral:rRNA from 1 species